rnacentral:lncRNA from 1 species
AGAAUAUGGUGUGUUAUAUUGCUGUCCUAGAGCAUCUCCACCUUUUACCCUUUGAACACCAGGGGUUGCAUGAAUAAGAGAUGGAUUUCCUGGACCACAAGGCCAUGAUGCAGGAUUGACAGAUAUGAAACCAAUAACAAAAUCAGAAUGUUCUUCAGCAAUUUUCAAGGCUGCAGCAGUGUAAUCACCCUUGGCAAGGUUACCAGAUGAACUCAUUUCAGCAAGCAGCAGCAGGCCCCUACCACGUGAUAAACCCUAUACAUUAGAGUUUAAAAUCAGAUAUGGAGUAAAUUGAAGCCUCAUAUUAUCCAUAUCCAGCCAAAAGAACAGCAAAUGCAAAAGCAACAAAACCUUCAAUUUUAGCCCGUCCACAAUUCCAGGACCUGAAAUAAUAUGAGCAUUUACUAUAUCUGCCCAGUCUAAUAUAUGGAAGAUGCCCCUGCAUAAAACAAAUUAAAACUCUCAAGGGAAGCAACAGAAGAAUCUGGAUAUGAAAUGCAGAGCAAAUCCUCACCCUUCAUACUGCAUAGUGACCGUGUUACCGAUGUCAGCAAACUUGCGAUCUUCAAAGAUUAAGAAAUUAUGUUUAUCUGCAAUCUUCACAAGUGGUAGGCACAAUUAGCCGUAUCUUUCGCUCAACGUAUGACAAAAAGAAGCGAGUAACUAGAUAAUGAGAAUGCAGCUUACAGAAUAUGGUGUGUUAUAUUGCUGUCCUAGAGCAUCUCCACCUUUUACCCUUUGAACACCAGGGGUUGCAUGAAUAAGAGAUGGAUUUCCUGGACCACAAGGCCAUGAUGCAGGAUUGACAGAUAUGAAACCAAUAACAAAAUCAGAAUGUUCUUCAGCAAUUUUCAAGGCUGCAGCAGUGUAAUCACCCUUGGCAAGGUUACCAGAUGAACUCAUUUCAGCAAGCAGCAGCAGGCCCCUACCACGUGAUAAAC